UUUCCAUGGGCUGACAGCUAUGUGAUUCGUAAGUUUGUCAUGGUGUUGUGUGAUUCGGAACAAAGCUCAGUGAUGCAUAUCCGGUGGGGCUUGUUGAUCUAGUACAUGAGGUAAUCUCACUGGUAUUAGCAUGUGUUAAAUUGCCCGUUAAAUUGGCCUGAAUUUGGGCCAUGGUUCUGUACCUGAAAUCUGUGUUGCAUUUGUGUAGUGGGAUUUUGUUUUCAUUGUUCACAUUUUACUGAU
rnacentral:lncRNA from 1 species